CCUAACACAUGCAAGUCGAACGGUAACAGGAAGAAGCUUGCUUCUUUGCUGACGAGUGGCGGACGGGUGAGUAAUGUCUGGGAAACUGCCUGAUGGAGGGGGAUAACUACUGGAAACGGUAGCUAAUACCGCAUAACGUCGCAAAACCAAAGAGGGGGACCUUCGGGCCUCUUGCCAUCGGAUGUGCCCAGAUGGGAUUAGCUAGUAGGUGGGGUAACGGCUCACCUAGGCGACGAUCCCUAGCUGGUCUGAGAGGAUGACCAGCCACACUGGAACUGAGACACGGUCCAGACUCCUACGGGAGGCAGCAGUGGGGAAUAUUGCACAAUGGGCGCAAGCCUGAUGCAGCCAUGCCGCGUGUAUGAAGAAGGCCUUCGGGUUGUAA
rnacentral:rRNA from 1 species